rnacentral:rRNA from 1 species
GACGAACGCUGGCGGCGUGCUUAACACAUGCAAGUCGAACGGAGUGGCGAACGGGUGAGUAACACGUGGGUGAUCUGCCUUGCACUUCGGGAUAAGCUUGGGAAACUGGGUCUAAUACCGGAUAUUGCAAGAUGGGCUCGCGGCCUAUCGGCUUGUUGGUGGGGUAAUGGCGUACCAAGGCUUCGACGGGUAGCCGGCCUGGGCGGGUGUACGGGCACAUUGGGCCUGAGGUAGGGCCCAGAAGGCUACGGGAGGCAGCGGGGGGGAAUAUUGCGGAGUGAGCGGGAGUGUGUUGUGGAGACCCCGCGUGGGGGAUGAAGGCCUUCGGGUUGUAAACACCUGUCGACAGGGACGCGGUACCUGUAUAAGAAGCACCGGCUAACUACGUGCCAGCAGCCGCGGUAAUAC